rnacentral:tRNA from 1 species
GGUGCCUUGGCUUAACUGUUUAUAUUGCCUGUCUAGCAAACAGGAAAGCCUGAGCUCAAAUCCCAGUGGUACCU